GUGUUGUGCCAUGUUAAAGACCCUCUUGUCAUUUUUAUUAUUCAUGGAUGGACGCUAAUUCUACAAGUCAGUUUAAGUGCUAUGGAGUCCCAUUUGCACCUGGAAUGCUGGGAACAGGGGAUGGAGCAGCAAGAAGCAAUUGAAAGGAUUAGGAUGGAACCUUCCUCAAGCUUCACAGGCUUGUCUGCUGGCCACAGACACCAUUAUGUACACAGGAAAAUCAGAUCAUUAUCUAAGGCCAACAAGCUCCUCCUUGAGAUGUUCUGCCAUAUAAUCUGGAGGAAAUACUGUAAGACUUUGUCAGCACUGAGUCAUUUGCACUGGGAGUCUUACCAGAAAAAAAAAAUCUUGUCUUCUCAGAAGGUUGUUUACUGUUCUAUUCAAAGAUCAAUUUGUCAUGUCAACACUUUCUCUAAUACAAUGGCAAGUGGCAAGAACAAACUGUACAGAAUCCUGUUUCCAACCUGA
ensembl:lncRNA